UACGUAGGGGGCAAGCGUUGUCCGGAAUUAUUGGGCGUAAAGAGCUCGUAGGCGGUCUGUCGCGUCGGAUGUGAAAACCCGGGGCUUAACCCCGGGCCUGCAUUCGAUACGGGCAGACACGAGUGUGGUAGGGGAGACUGGAACUCCUGGUGUAGCGGUGAAAUGCGCAGAUAUCAGGAAGAACACCGGUGGCGAAGGCGGGUCUCUGGGCCACUACUGACGCUGAGGAGCGAAAGCGUGGGGAGCGAACAGG
rnacentral:rRNA from 1 species